CGGCUGCCGUGGAGGUGAAGGCCACGGACCCCCGGGGACUUAGUGCUUCAGCCAGGGUGGAGGUGGCGGUCCAGGGAAAUGCGAACAGCGAUGACGUGGUGACCAUCUCCCUCAACCAGCCUGCGAACAGGGUGGAGAAGAAAGUUCCGGAGUUAGAGAAGUCUUUAGGCGCGGCCCUGGGCUGGACUGUCAACGUCAUCGGGGUGUCGAGCUCCAGCCGAGGAGCCGCCGAGUCCAGAGGACCCGGGGCGGAUGCGAGGACUUUGCUCAGCUUCAUCGCUGUAGAUGGAGGGGAGGUCGUUUCCUUCGAGGAAGUCACAAAGAGACUGCAGAGCCAAUCAGCUGCCGUGAGGGCGGAGCUGGUCAGAGUGUUCGGGGAGGGGCUGGCUUUCGACGUGGCGACGAGGCCC